UGGUACUAUGCUCUCCCUUUUCCUUUGCCCCAAGGAAUUAGGGUAUAUUCUAAAUCGAUUUCAUCUGGGUGAUACAAGAGAUUCUGUUGGUUGUUCAGAGAUGUUGAGAGAUCAACCAGGAGACUGUGGGAGGAUGUGAGCUCUCUGAGGUAACCUCUCUCCAUGUGUCACCCCUGGUCUUCGGGAAGUCUCUCCAAUUCAAGAAAUGUGCUGUUUUAGUGGUGUCUUUCUUUUGGAAACUGGUAAAGGGACUGAGGGUGCUGUGGAAUUAAAGACAAGCAAGGGCCAGGCAUAGCGGUUCACACCUGUAAUCCGAGCACUUUGGGAGGCCAAGGUGGGAGGAUUAUUUGAGGCGUGGAGGUCAAGAACAGCCUGUGUAACAUAGCCAGACUUUGUUUCUACGAGAACAUAAAAUAAAAUAAAAUAAAAUGAAAUAAUCUGAAUAUAGAUGCAUGCAUGUGUGUUCCCAGCUACACAGGAAGCUGAGGCAGGAGGAUUGCUUGAGCCCAGGAGUUCGAGUUUAUAGUGAGCUGUGAUCAUGUCACUGCACACUAGCCUGGGCAACAGAAUGAGACCCUGCCUCUCAAUAAAAAGAAAUAAAGAAGACAGAAAUUCAGUGGCAAUAGAAGCAGGAGGAAAUGAAUCUUUGAACUUGCAGAUGUUGUGGGAAGACUGUUAACAGUCAAUGGAAUUGGCAGUCAAGAGAAGUUUAACUGAAUCUCUGAGUGGCAAGAGUCAGGAGAGGUUUAACUGAAUAUAGAAGGAGAAGAAGUAUUUACAUUAGAAGUCUGAUUCACAGGUCGGGGCAAAGUGAAAAACAUCUGCACUUUUAAAAGAGAGGUCAAAAGUCCGUCUGACUCACCUGUGCUGAGUGACUUGAAUGCCAUCUAAUCUAACUUCAAGUGUAAGAAUUCUGGACCCUUAUUUGAAGUCUCUCCUGCUUUGUUGGGCAAAAGUAAUGAGAAACUCCACUUGGCUUCAGAAUGCAGUGUCAACUCCACAUGAAUCAAAGCAAUAAAAAAGAAUCAACUCAGAGCAGGCUGAGCUAUGUGAGGUAUGAAAACUUGAUCAGGGCCAGCGUGAGUAUGGGACUUCAGUCAUGCUCCCACUCCCUCACAGGACCCACACGGGUGGGGGGUGGGGGGAAUUGUUUAAAAGCAUUUAGUUCCUAACUAGCUGCCUCACCCAUUAUCUUCCGUUUCUUGUAAUUUAGGAAACAAAGAACAACAUAUAGCCAGAUCAAUAGCUUAUGUUAUUUUCAUAUGUUAAUUAUUGCUAAACAACUUAGGAACUGCCUUUUCUUUUAUUUCCUUUAAAAAUCCAUUUGUAACUGUUGCUGGUGGGACCGGACUACAUAUUCAGGAUAACUUUAAUCUGUGCUUUGAAGUUUCAAUCCUCAAGACUGGCCCAAAUAAACCCCCUACUUAUAUUAAUCUUGCCUCAGUUUCUUUCUUUUAGGUGGACAGUGGUGAGAGCAAUUAGGCUUUUUGCAGAAUUACUCAUUCUAAAUAUUCUUGCUUGUAUUAUAUUUUAGAUACAAAUUUUCCAGCUGUUAUUUUUCAAGUCAUUGCCUGCUUCACUGUGUCAAUUUCUAGUCUGCAGCCUUUGUAAGCAUUUGUUUCUUUGUUUCAACUGCUUCUUUUUCCUUUCCUGUUACUUCUCUGGCCCCCUGUUCUUUGUUCCUCUCUGAGGAAUGCAGAUCUCUGCUCCUC
rnacentral:lncRNA from 10 species